rnacentral:pre_miRNA from 1 species
CGAACUUGACAUUCAAGCAACCUCGAAAUCAUGAAAUGUUCUUGAAGAUGCUUGAAUUUUAAGUUUUG